rnacentral:rRNA from 1 species
UACGAAGGGGGCUAGCGUUGCUCGGAAUCACUGGGCGUAAAGCGCACGUACGCCGUUUGCUAAGUCAGGGGUGAAAUCCUGGAGCUCAACUCCAGAACUGCCUUUGAUACUGGCGGACUCGAGUCCGGGAGAGGUGAGUGGAACUGCGAGUGUAGAGGUGAAAUUCGUAGAUAUUCGCAAGAACACCAGUGGCGAAGGCGGCUCACUGGCCCGGUACUGACGCUGAGGUGCGAAAGCGUGGGGAGCAAACAGG